rnacentral:rRNA from 1 species
CCAGCAGCCGCGGUAAGACGAGGGAUCCUAGCGUUGUUCGGAAUCAUUGGGCGUAAAGCGCGCGUAGGCGGCGAUCUAAGUCAGGGGUGAAAGCCCGGGGCUCAACCCCGGAAUUGCCCUUGAGACUGGAUUGCUAGAAUCACGGAGAGGUGGGUGGAAUUCCGAGUGUAGAGGUGAAAUUCGUAGAUAUUCGGAAGAACACCAGUGGCGAAGGCGGCCCACUGGACGUGUAUUGACGCUGAGGUGCGAAAGCGUGGGGAGC